UCCCUAUUCUGGAUUUUCAUUAAUAUGCAAUUUUUUUAAACUUGAUUCAAUGCAUAGCCUUGCAUUUUAAUUCCUUGCCUAUUAUGGAUUUUAGUUUGCUUCAUCCAAGUAGUUUGCUUUACUCAAAUCUGAAUUAAGUUUUGCUUGAUUCAAUAUGAAUCCUUACAUUUCAAUUCUCACGUGCAACAAUUAAACAAAAGUGUCUUCCAUUUUUCCCUGCAUUCAACUAUUCCCGUUCCCAUGGGUUUCUUAGGGUUGUCGACAUGGAUAGAGCAGAAAGUUCUUCGCGUUAUUCAGGUGGGCAUGGGGUUGGUCAUACACGAGGAGUUCCAUGUGGACGUGGUCGUGGACGUGGACGGACACGCCGUCCAUCAGUACCUGAUUCCACUCCUCAAUCAAACUCACAUGUUGCCACCGAGAACCGUCGUAGGCGUUUGGAUGUAAUCACUAGAAACAGGAGCCGAGGAAAUGAAGCAUCGACCACAUCGAUGUCAAACACACAUAAUCAGAUAUUUGCCCAUAAAUGUAAUCUUUUGCCUAAAUUAAUCCCUGUUCAUGUGUCCAAGUUCAGUGAUCAUUUACGUUUACAAAAAACCCUCUCUUUGUGCCUCAUCUUUCAGGAACUAUAUUUGAACCCUUAACUCUUGGAGGCCCCUAGUGUUCUUGCCAACAUUGUGGUGCUCUCUUUUGGUAUGAUGAGCGUGUACACAGAGAAAGGCAUACUCAAAAUCCAACAUAUAAUUUGUGCUGCAAAGGAGGAAAAGUUUCCCUCCAGCCAUAUGAUCCUCCUCCUCAACCUCUAUUGGAUUUACUCACUUCACAGAAUAGUUCACUCUCAAGCCACUUCUUUCAUCAUAUUCGUUAGUACAAUACCAUGUUUGCCAUGACUUCAAUGGGAGCUAAAAUUGAUGAGUCCAUAAAUGACGGCCGAGGCCCAUACGUUUUCAAGAUCAGUGGCCAAGUCUGCCACCGUGUUGGUUCAUUGAGACCAUCUAGAGGACAGAGACCAGAAUAUGCACAAUUAUACAUAUUUGAUACAGAGUGUGAGGUUUCAAAUAGAAUAAAUGUUGCCUCAUCUUCGCGCACCGGUUCAUCUACACGCACUUUGUUCCAAGCUAAUGAAGGCAUUGUUCAGUCCCUCAUAACAAUGUUGAACACACAUAAUCCCAUUGUGAAACUAUUUAGAACAGCAAGUCAAAGAUUACAUGGCAAUGAUUCUGACCAUUUAUACCUCAGAAUAUAUGGCAAACCUGAUGCCCGUGGAGAUAUCUAUAGUGCUCCAGUUGCAUCCGAAGUUGUUGGAUUAGUGGUUGGAGAUUUAGGGUCUUCUAAUGUUGGACGAGUCAUUAUAAUAGAAGAUCAUUCAUCACGGUUACAACAGAUCAAUGAAAAACACUACAAGUUUAUGUCCAUGCAAUAUCCUCUUUUAUUUCCAUAUGGUGAGGAUGGUUAUCCAUGAUGACCUUAUGUGCCUUCCAGUGUCAAAUGCAUCAAAUCAACGCCAAAAAGUCACAAUGCUAGAAUACUAUGCAUAUAGGUUACAUGAUAGGCCAAAUGACUUCAACACUCCAUUACGAUGCAAAAGGUUAACACAGGCUUACUUUGUGGAUUGCUAUUGUUCUAUUGAAACCUUUCGUAUUGCAUUCUACCGCAAGCCUAGCUUUCAACGGAAAUACAGAUCAUCAUCAUUCAGUUGUUUAGCAGAUUCUGUGUCAAAGGGUAUUACAUCAGGUUCUUCUAUUGGCCAAAGGAUUAUAUUACCUUCCUCAUUUAUUGGAGGCCCUCGCUACUUAUACCAAAACUACCAAGACUCCAUUGCUAUUUGUAGAAAAUAUGGUUGCCCAGAUCUGUUUGUCACGUUCACAUCAAAUGCUGCUUGGCCUGAAAUUACAGAGGAUCUAUCAUCCAUUCCUGGUCAAGAACCAUCUGACCGUCCAGAUAUUGUCAACCGGGUAUUCAAAAUGAAGCUUAAUAUUCUAAUGGAUGAUAUUAAAAAGAAACAUUUUUUGGACCCAUAAACGCAGGUAAUAAGCGUUCUCUUAAACUUAUAUUCACUUCUCUCAACAUAGUUCUCUGCCGGUUAUUAAACAUAUUUUACAUUCCUGUAGUUAUCUACACAGUUGAAUUCCAGAAAUGUGGACUCCCACAUGUUCAUAUAAUUAUAUGGUUAGCCAAAGAAGCACCUUUAUGCCGACGUAUUUAAUCAAAUUAAUACACAUAGAAGCUAAAACAGCUAGGUAUUUUAUCCACUCAAAUUUAUGUUAUGCCUGAAAUUUCACAAGUAUGUAAUACAUUUUUUCUGCAUGCCAUCAUUUUUUUCCUAACAUUCUUAUUCAUUGAGAUCCAUCUCCCCUAUGGAGUCAACUACGAAACUUAAAGAUAUUACAGUGGGAUAGAAAAAUUGUAAGGUCUUUGCACGGGUAAUAAGGCUUUGGGAUGCUAUAAAUACGAAUCCUAGAUAUGGAAAUGCUUUGAUCAACAUUGAUGGCAUUCUCUUGGAUGAAGAUGGAUCCAUGGCACAAAUCAGUGUGCCUAAAAAAUUUGAAAAACAAUUUCGUGGGUUGCUAUCUCAAGGAUCUGUCUAUAUUAUUUCAAAUGUUGCAGUUAUCGAUAUCAAAAGCAAAUCAUAUGUCUAUCGCCAUCAGAAUUAUAUGCUGCAAUUCAAACAAGACACAAAGGUUCAUCCGCUACAUUCAAGAGGUGCAGAUAUACCUACACUUUCGUUCGACUUUUGCCCAUUUGAUCAGCUGCCACAAAAAGCAAUUGAUUCCAAGCCACUCCUAGAUGUGAUAGGAGUAAUAUGUGAUGUUGGUCCAUAUGACUAUGCUAGCCAAACAUCUCAGCACAAAUUUCGGAAGAUCAAAAUUCGCAACCUAGAAGAACAAACACAAGAAUUAGUUCUAUGGGGCCAGCAUGGAGAAUCAUUUGAUGAAGAAACAGUACUUAAAAAAUAUCAAGAAGGAAUUGUCAUAGCCAUUUUUGCUGGUGUAACUGCAACUCUACAAAGGUCUACAUGUAUGAUACAAGGAUCCUCAAGUUCUGCGACACAAAUAUAUCUUGAUCUUGAUAUACCUGAAGUUCAAAAGUACCGCACCAGCUCUAAAUGGAAAUGCCCAACUCUACAAAAGCAUCUCCCUCAGGUCAAACAAGUAUCUCCACUUGAAGCAGCAGGCAAACUAUACACCAUUGAAGAAAUAUCUAACCUACCAACGUCAUCUUUUCAGGGAGGAGCAACCUUCAGCACUAUCGCAAAAGUAGCAUCAAUUAUACCGUCAGUCAAAUGGUACUACAAAGCAUGCAAGCGUUGUGGAAAAGGAUAUAACAACAUGACAGAUACCCCAACAUGUGGCUGCCAAUUUCCAGUUCCAUGCCCAAUGUACAAACUUCCCCUUACACUAACAGAUAACUCGGGAAGUUUGGAUGCAAUUGCUUUCGCUAGAGUAGCUGAAGACUUAGUUGAGCGUCAUGCUGAUCAUGUUUCAAUGAGUAUGAAGAUAGAAGCUACAGAUCAUGUGCUUACCCUGGAUAAAUCCAUUGGUAAAGAAAAGUUAUUCUACAUAGGAAUGAACACUGAUUCGUCUGCCAAGUACCCUAUAAAUUAUGUCCUGAAAAAAAGUUUCUCUAUCAACAAUACUGAAUCAACACCUGUUCCACAUGCGCCAAAGUCAGGCGAGGAUACAACCACCAAUGACAAUACUCCUGCAACUCAUAAGCCAAUGUCUAUCAGCAUAAAGGAAAGAGAAAAUAGGAUCAACACAAAAAGAAGAAUUGAUUUUACUGAGAGUGAUGCCGACAAAUCUAACAGGUAUGAGAACACUCACAAAACCUUAGUGCACCAUGGUUCUCCAAAGGCACAUACAAACUUAUUUCAAGUACAUGGAGGUUCUUGGGUUACAUUUAUAUUCUCUUUCCCAGUUCAUUUUCUAUUUUGAUUCAUGCUUUAUUACCUUCAAUAUCUGAUAUAAUAAAUGGAACCAAUUUUCUAAAUGCAGCUCAAAGAAACCGAAAGAAAGUAUUGCGAAAAAGAACAAGCAUGAGAAUGUAGAUACACUUCCAGAAAAACUGCAUCAACAGGAACAACCAGAGUAAAGGAACCUUUGGACGAUUUAAGUACUUUACAUUGACUAUAUAAACUUUCAUUUUCUGAUUAAAAAAACCAGUAAUAUAUUGUGUUAUUUUUUUGACAACGCUUCAUUUUCCAAUACAGGCAGGACAACUUGCACUUUGCUACAAAUGAGAAAUGAGGAAUAACGUACAUCGCUUACAACCAGAAAUAACAGUCCUUAUGUUCAUACCACUUUGCUCAGCUUCUAUAGUAACCAAGGAACAUUACAAAUUUUGUUCAACUACCAACUUAUCAGUGGUUCCAGUUUAUGUUCUUUGUUCGACUUAUGAUCUCAAUACAAACCUACAGUGUGUGUUCAAAUAUAUUCAUGAAUGGAUCCAAUUUAUGUUCUUUGGUGCA